rnacentral:rRNA from 1 species
GACGAACGCUGGCGGCGUGCUUAACACAUGCAAGUCGAACGGUGAUGACAGGGCUUGCCUUGUCUGAUCAGUGGCGAACGGGUGAGUAACACGUGAGCAACCUGCCCCAGACUCUGGGAUAACCCCGGGAAACCGGAGCUAAUACCGGAUAUGACACUCGCACGCAUGUGCUGGGUGUGGAAAGUUUUUCGGUCUGGGAUGGGCUCGCGGCCUAUCAGCUUGUUGGUGAGGUAGUGGCUCACCAAGGCGACGACGGGUAGCCGGCCUGAGAGGGCGACCGGCCACACUGGGACUGAGACACGGCCCAGACUCCUACGGGAGGCAGCAGUGGGGAAUAUUGCACAAUGGGCGAAAGCCUGAUGCAGCGACGCCGCGUGAGGGAUGACGGCCUUCGGGUUGUAAACCUCUUUCAGCAGGGAAGAAGCGCAAGUGACGGUACCUGCAGAAGAAGCACCGGCUAACUACGUGCCAGCAGCCGCGGUAAUACGUAGGGUGCGAGCGUUGUCCGGAAUUAUUGGGCGUAAAGAGCUUGUAGGCGGUUUGUCGCGUCUGCUGUGAAAAUCCGGGGCUCAACCCCGGACUUGCAGUGGGUACGGGCAGGCUAGAGUGUGGUAGGGGAGACUGGAAUUCCUGGUGUAGCGGUGGAAUGCGCAGAUAUCAGGAGGAACACCGAUGGCGAAGGCAGGUCUCUGGGCC